rnacentral:rRNA from 1 species
CAAUAGCGUAUAUUUAAGUUGUUGCAGUUAAAAAGCUCGUAGUUGGAUUUCGGAUGGGACUUGCCGGUCCGUCGUUUCGAUGUGCACUGGCCAGUCCUAUCUUGUUGUCGGGGACUAGCUCCUGGGCUUCACUGUCCGGGACUAGGAGCUGACGAGGUUACUUUGAGUAAAUUAGAGUGUUCAAAGCAAGCCUACGCUCUGAAUACAUUAGCAUGGAAUAACACGAUAGGACUCUGGCUUAUCUUGUUGGUCUGUGAGACCAGAGUAAUGAUUAAGAGGGACAGUCGGGGGCAUUCGUAUUUAAUUGUCAGAGGUGAAAUUCUUGGAUUUAUGAAAGACGAACUUCUGCGAAAGCAUUUGUCAAGGAUGUUUUCAUUAA